rnacentral:rRNA from 1 species
GAUGAACGCUGGCGGCGUGCCUAAUAUAUGCAAGUCGAGCGAACAGACGAGGAGCUUGCUCCUCUGACGUUAGCGGCGGACGGGUGAGUAACACGUGGAUAACCUACCUAUAAGACUGGGAUAACUUCGGGAAACCGGAGCUAAUACCGGAUAAUAUAUUGAACCGUAUGGUUCAAUAGUGAAAGACGGUUUUGCUGUCACUUAUAGAUGGAUCCGCGCCGCAUUAGCUAGUUGGUAAGGUAACGGCUUACCAAGGCAACGAUGCGUAGCCGACCUGAGAGGGUGAUCGGCCACACUGGAACUGAGACACGGUCCAGACUCCUACGGGAGGCAGCAGUAGGGAAUCUUCCGCAAUGGGCGAAAGCUUGACGGAGCAACGCCGCGUGAGUGAUGAAGGUCUUCGGAUCGUAAAACUCUGUUAUUAGGGAAGAACAAAUGUGUAAGUAACUAUGCACGUCUUGACGGUACCUAAUCAGAAAGCCACGGCUAACUACGUG